ACUCCUACGGGAGGCAGCAGCUAGGAAUCUUGGGAAUGCGCGAAAGCGUGACCCAGCAACGCCGCGUGGGCGAUGAAGGCCUUCGGGUCGUAAAGCCCUUUUGCAGGGGAAGAUUGUGACGGUACCUUGCGAAUAAGCCACGGCUAACUACGUGCCAGCAGCCGCGGUAAU
rnacentral:rRNA from 1 species